AUUAAAAGUUUCAAAUAUAAAAUGCAUAUGUAUACGAUACGGAGAAGAAUGGCCCCUGCGCAAGGAUGACACGCAAAAUGGUGAAGCGUUCCACAUUUUU